GGGGGUGUGAGAGCAUGGCCCCCACCACUGGGACUGAGAUACUGCCCAGACACCUACGGGUGGCUGCAGUCGAGAAUCUUCGGCAAUGGGCGCAAGCCUGACCGAGCGACGCCGCGUGCGGGAUGAAGGCCCUCGGGUUGUAAACCGCUGUCAGGGGGGAUGAAAUGCAUGGGGGUUCUCCCCCAUGCUUGACAGAGCCCCAGAGGAAGCACGGGCUAAGUUCGUGCCAGCAGCCGCGGUAAUACGAACUGUGCGAACGUUAUUCGGAAUCACUGGGCUUACAGGGUGCGUAGGCGGCUUGUUAAGCAGGGUGUGAAAUCCUCCGGCUCAACCGGAGAACAGCGCUCUGGACUGGCGAGCUUGAGUGUGCUAGGGGUGUGUGGAACUUCCAGUGGAGCGGUGAAAUGUGUUGAUAUUGGAAGGAACACCGGUGGCGAAAGCGACACACUGGGGCAUAACUGACGCUGAGGCACGAAAGCCAGGGGAGCGAACGGGAUUAGAUACCCCGGUAGUCCUGGCUGUAAACGAUGAGCACUAGACGGGAGGGGCUUCGGCCUUUCCGGUCGCAGCGAAAGCAUUAAGUGCUCCGCCUGGGGAGUAUGGUCGCAAGGCUGAA
rnacentral:rRNA from 1 species